AGAGUUUGAUCAUGGCUCAGAACGAACGCUGGCGGCAGGCUUAACACAUGCAAGUCGAACGCCCCGCAAGGGGAGUGGCGCACGGGUGAGUAACGCGUGGGAACCUACCUAUCGGUACGGAAUAACACAGGGAAACUUGUGCUAAUACCGUAUGAGCUCUACGGAGGAAAGAUUUAUCGCCGAUAGAUGGGCCCGCGUCCGAUUAGCUAGUUGGUGAGGUAACGGCUCACCAAGGCUUCGAUCGGUAGCUGGUCUGAGAGGAUGAUCAGCCACACUGGGACUGAGACACGGCCCAGACUCCUACGGGAGGCAGCAGUGGGGAAUAUUGGACAAUGGGCGAAAGCCUGAUCCAGCAAUGCCGCGUGAGUGAUGAAGGCCCUAGGGUUGUAAAGCUCUUUUACCCGGGAUGAUAAUGACAGUACCGGGAGAAUAAGCUCCGGCUAACUUCGUGCCAGCAGCCGCGGUAAUACGAGGGGAGCUAGCGUUGUUCGGAAUUACUG
rnacentral:rRNA from 1 species